rnacentral:rRNA from 1 species
UACUCCUACGGGAGGCAGCAGUGGGGAAUAUUGCACAAUGGGCGAAAGCCUGAUGCAGCGACGCCGCGUGAGGGAUGAAGGCCUUCGGGUUGUAAACCUCUUUCAGCAGGGAAGAAGCGAAAGUGACGGUACCUGCAGAAGAAGCACCGGCUAACUACGUGCCAGCAGCCGCGGUAAU